ensembl:rRNA 5S_rRNA 5S ribosomal RNA
AAUAACAUCCAUGUCACCCUGCAGCCCAAGACUCACCCAAGGCUCAAUGAAGCUAAGCAGGGUUGAGCCUGGUUAGUAUCUAGAUGGGAGACCACAUGGGAAAACUAGGUUGCUGUUGGAA